rnacentral:misc_RNA from 1 species
GAUGAAGAACGUAGCGAAAUGCGAUAAGUAGUGUGAAUUGCAGAAUUCAGUGAAUCAUCGAAUCUUUGAACGCACAUUGCGCCCCUCGGUAUUCCGUGGGGCAUGCCUGUUCGAGCGUCAUUUAACCCCUCAAGCCUAGCUUGGUAUUGGGUGCUUGUCCCGCCUCUUGCGCGGCGACUCACCUCAAAGUCAUUGGCAGCCCGCAUCUCGCCGGCCGUGAGCGCAGCACAGACGCGCUCUUGGCAACGACGGAUCGGCUCUCCAAAAGCUUAUUUCAACCACUGACCUCGGAUCAGGUAGGGAUACCCGCUGAACUUAAGCAUAUCAAUAAGCGGAGGA